rnacentral:rRNA from 1 species
CGCGGCCUAUCAGCUUGUUGGUGAGGUAAUGGCUCACCAAGGCAUCGACGGGUAGCUGGUCUGAGAGGACGAUCAGCCACACUGGGACUGAGACACGGCCCAGACUCCUACGGGAGGCAGCAGUAGGGAAUCUUGCGCAAUGGGGGAAACCCUGACGCAGCAACGCCGCGUGUGGGAUGACGGCUUUCGGGUUGUAAACCACUUUCAGUGAUGACGAAAAUGACGGUAAUCACAGAAGAAGGUCCGGCCAACUACGUGCCAGCAGCCGCGGUAACACGUAGGGACCGAGCGUUGUCCGGAUUUAUUGGGCGUAAAGAGCUCGUAGGCGGUUCUGUAAGUCGGAUGUGAAAACUCAGGGCUCAACCCUGAGACGCCAUCUGAUACUGCAGUGACUUGAGUCCGGUAGAGGAGUGUGGAAUUCCUGGUGUAGCGGUGAAAUGCGCAGAUAUCAGGAGGAACACCAGCGGCGAAGGCGGCACUCUGGGCCGGUACUGACGCUGAGGAGCGAAAGCAUGGGGAGCAAACAGGAUUAGAUACCCUGGUAGUCCAUGCCGUAAACGUUGGGCACUAGGUAUGGGAUCAUAUCAACGGAUUCCGUGCCGUAGCUAACGCAUUAAGUGCCCCGCCUGGGGAGUACGG